UACGGGAGGCAGCAGGGGGAAUAUUGCACAAUGGGCGAAAGCCUGAUGCAGCUAUGCCGCGUGUAUGAAGAAGGCCUUAGGGUUGUAAAGUACUUUCAUCGGGGAGGAAAAAACAAAACUAAUAAUUUUAUUUCUUGACGUUACCCGAAAAAGAAGCACCGGCUAACUCCGUGCCAGCAGCCGCGGUAAUACGGAGGGUGCUAGCGUUAAUCAGAAUUACUGGGCGUAAAGAGCACGUAGGUGGUUUUUUUAAGUCAGAUGUGAAAUCCCUGGGCUUAACCUGGAACUGCAUUUUGAAACUGAAAUACUAGAGUAUCGUAGAGGGAGGUAGAAUUCUAGGUGUAGCGGUGAAAUGCGUAGAUAUCUGGAGGAAUACCUGUGGCGAAAGCGGCCUCCUAAACGAAUACUGACACUGAGGGUGCGAAAAGCGUGGGGAGCAAAACAGGGAUUAGAUACC
rnacentral:rRNA from 1 species